GCCGCCGUCAGAACGUGUGAAAUUUUGAAUGGGAUUGAUUGGGACUGCAGACGAGAGACCAGCAGCGACGCCACGGCGACUGCAUGGAAGUUCCGUCCACCGGCAGCGGUGUCACGGCGACGUGCAUACGGAAAUUCAGACAAAAUGGACGUCUACUCAUGGACGUCUGAAUAAGUUAGUCGCCACAAAGACGCCUGCUGACCUACCUCGCCGUGAGAACGCCUGAACUAGAUAUGUGGCCACAAAGCGCUUCAGAUUUUAUGACUUAGUUUAGGAUUUACUAGUGUUUUAUACAACCAGCACAUUUAUAUCACUUGGUACAGCAAUGUAUAAUGGUGUAGGACAGAUAACGUGUUGUUUAAAUGUAGGCUAUUUUGAUGGUGCCUGUUUUGAUACUGUUAUUCACUCUCAAAGUAGACCUAUUAUUGUUUUAGUUGAGAUAAUGAAUUGCUUAUUUGUUUGGGUAAUUUACUGUAAUUAAAAUGGGUAGGUCUACAGACUUAGCAUUAAACACCACUGAAAGUGUUAUCUAUUACUACAGUAUAUCUGUAACAUUUAUAUUUAAAAUGUAUAUUAAUGUAAUUAUCUGCAGGUGUAUUAUUUUAAGGUGUAUUUUGGUUAUUGGUUAUUGGGUUUAUUUAUUCAGAUUCAUACAGAAGAAAUUGUGUCGAUUAUUUAUUGAUUGAGUAGUUAAUUUUGAUAACAAUGCUAAGAAUAUCUGAUGUGGUGUAAAAUAAAAGAGAUGACAAUGGCAGCCAACAUAACCAGUGUUAAAUCUCCUUUCUUGCCUGUUUUCAUAUUUCCCUGUACACACAGGAGACGAUAGAUCUACCAACACAACAAUUUAUCAUCUGUACAAUACCAAGAAUCAACAGAUGUUCACGAGUAUAUGAUUACAUUCAUGAAUACAAUUUGAAUUAAGCUCACACUCACAAACAAAUAUUUUCUAAAUGAAUACUCUGAGCAAGCAUGACAAUACUGCAAGCCAUUACAUCAUGUCUUGUACUUGCACUAAUGCUACUCAAUACCUUUGCAAAUACUUCGCAGGAGGGAGAAGCCCAGCACAGUGACCUGACUGCAAUCGUGUGUUUGAGGCACUUUUCAUCCAACUCUACGAGCAGUACUGUGGAUCAAGGCAAGAUGUUGAGUUUAUAAACACUUUACCCAGCCAAUAAUAACCUAGUAUCUGUGCCAUUUCCUGUGUAGCCAUGUUGUCAUCUGAUAUUAUGCUUUGUUAUACAAAAAAGGUAAUACUUUUAGGCACUGCACAGGGGAACAAGCACAGGAGAACUACUGUCGUGAGCCCAGAGAGGCUCCAUCUUCUGUUCUGAGGCCGGUUCCUGAGCUUCCUCUCCCGUCAACCAAACCAGCACUUCAACCACUUGCCCACACCUCCACCUCGUUUUCCUAUUGAAGUAGUAAUGUCACUAAUACAAUCUUCUGGAAUUUCUUUAAAAGAUUGCGGCAACGGCAAGGUUUGGGGUGCUUGGGGGUGCUGCAGGAGGAAGCACUGAAAGGAUCGCAGAAAGGAUUUUGCAGGCACCAACAAAGCUCCCCUGCGGUGGAGAUGCUGCAUUGGUGUUGGAGGACACAGAGAACAGAGUGACGCUGAACCAGCUCCUCAUGUUUGUCACAGGGGCGGACAGAGUUCCUCCCCUACGAUUCCCAGGAGAGCCAACAUUAAACUUUUUGCACACUGGCACUGUCUUCCCGGAAGCAAACACGUGUGCACUAAUUCUGAAGUUGCCUCUUCACACCACCUAUGAAUCAUUAAGUGAUUCCAUGAUUUCAGGAAUCAUCCAGUCCCCCUGUUUUGGGUAUGCUUAAUGUAACACUUUUUUUUUGCAUCUUCUUGCUUAUGUUUUGCAUCUUCUUUAAAUAAAGAAUGUUCCAGUGCCACGUU